GCAGGAUCUGAAAUGAACAAAAGACAUGGAAAAUGCUAGAGGGAAGAGCAAGGACAGAUGAAUGAGACCGAGGUCACUGAGAGGUUUUAUGAAGUCUGGCAUUGUCCUGUGUUCCACCUCUCCCUCAAAUACCUCAGGCUCCUCAGGGAUUGAUGGCAUCUUCUCUAACCUUGACCUGAAGAGUGAAAAACAAACAAAUGAGUCAGAAAAGGGUUAGUCCUACAUGAGAAGAUACCAUCAUGAGGAUGAUCAUAAGGUUUUCCCUUCAUGACGCACUGAAGCAUCACCACUGAUUCAGCAGCUACCACUUCAUUCUUAAGUGGAGGUUCAGACAUGGGGGCCUCUGCUGGGUCCUCUUCCAUAGACAUGUAGGAAUCAUAUGAUGGAUCUUCUAGAAGGAUCAGGCAACGAUUGACCAAGUGACAAUAAGGUUGACUGUUCCUCCAGAGAGGAUGAUUUCUGCUUGAAGAAAGACCUCUUGAGUGCCACAUCACUCUUGGAGUUGUCUUGGAGCUUUCCAGAUUUACUUCUACUAUCCUCAGAAUUGCAAGAUGAUGUUCGACUGAAGCCCCAUGAUAGUCUUGAUGAAGACACCUUUGUGUGCCAGCACUCAUUCUUGAACACUGUAAAUGGAAAAGGUCCUUCUUCGAUAGAGGCUCAAAACACUGCCAUAGUAGUCACUGGCUAAGGACAUACUCUCCUCUGACCCCAACGCCACGUAGUACACACUUAUUUGUGAGGCCCGCACAAGAGCUUCAAUCCCCAGGUGUCUGACUGGAGGGCUCUCAACACACCCAGCAUUUGCUUGCCUGCUAGGUGACAAGGGAUCCUGAAGACCAGGAGCUCUAGAGCCCAGGGUUUGCAUCUCCCUCUCCACUACUGGACCAUCACCUGGGAUAUGGGAAAGCACUGCUCUCCC